UACGAAGGGGGCUAGCGUUGCUCGGAAUCACUGGGCGUAAAGGGUGCGUAGGCGGGUUUUUAAGUCAGGGGUGAAAUCCUGGAGCUCAACUCCAGAACUGCCUUUGAUACUGAAGAUCUUGAGUCCGGGAGAGGUGAGUGGAACUGCGAGUGUAGAGGUGAAAUUCGUAGAUAUUCGCAAGAACACCAGUGGCGAAGGCGGCUCACUGGCCCCGAUACUGACGCUGAGGCACGAAAAGCGUGGGGGAGCAAACAGG
rnacentral:rRNA from 1 species